rnacentral:sRNA from 1 species
GGAAACCGUUGUUUUCAACUUAUAGGAAGAGAACAAAAACCUACAGAACCUCCAGUAAUUCUAGGAGUGUAUAGCAGCUUUGAAAAUCAACAACUUGACAAUCACACGUAUGAUGCUCUUCAGCCAACAAGUAAAUAGGUAAACAUUUUAA